UGGAUAUCAUCUACGAGGUCAGUC
rnacentral:siRNA from 1 species